GUCAAGUUUUGAGCAGCAAACUCCGAAUGAACUCGAGAAGUCCCUGAGGCUUUUCGCUCUUUGAUUAACUGAUCGUGAUGAUCCGGACAGCGUAAAGUCCAUAAGCUGUCGACCCACCGAGGAAAGAUGUAAAUAAACAGAGACUUCAGUAAUCUCAACCAGCAGGUAGAAGAAGCAAAGGCGCCGUCGCCAGGCGUAACUAUCGUUUACAGUCUGACCCGGAUCAUAGGUGACAAGAGCUGCCUCGGCCCCAUUGAGUGCUGAGCCUCUCAGGAGCAGAGAAUGCAAAUAGAGGCAGCCAGACACAAGCAGGUCAAGUUACCCUCGUUUCGCGCAUAAGUACUUCCUCAGGAAGUCUACAGAUGAUCCUCCGUGUACUUGAAAACCAAUUGUUGUUGUGCAGAAGUAUGGGUUGUAGUUCAACUUCCCAUCACAGCAGAAUGACAGUAAUAAAAUUCAAUAUUCUUCGACCUCUUCUUCUCCUACCCUCAUUACUUUUUUUUUCUUUUUUUAUUUCCUGUGCUCUCACUCUCCACCCCCUAUUUUCAUUGUUUUCCUUCUUGUUUUCCUCGUAGCAGGUAUUAAAUGUUUUGUCAAUUAAAGACAAUAUCCAAGCUGUCGUAGUGAAAGGAUAGUGGAAAAUCAAGCGCCAGUGUUUGGAGGCAACGGCUUGAGCUCGGCGUCAAUCACUGCCGCCUCUCCGCGCGGCGAUAGUUCUGACGACAAAUCCUCCACAGGUCUGACCCCGUGACCUCACAAGAGGAUCAACAGAUCGUGGGCAAUGUCUGCUGACGAUAUGCUUCGCCGCCCACGACGACUGCGCCAGCUGCAAGUUAAUGUGUGAUGAUGACAGGAUGGUGUGAGGUCCGGUCCGUUCAAAGCCAGAUAACUCCCUACAGCGGUGGUUUAUGUGUUGUUGGUGUGUAUUGUUAUGAGCUAACUGCUGUGCAACAAUACAACGUUCUCCACAUACACAAAGGGUUACAGUUGUCGUUAUUUUUACCUUGCCUUCGUAUUUUUUUUUUUUUUUGGUAUUGUUGUUGGGGGGUUUGCAUGCAUUCGCUCGUUAAGCAGUGCGGCAAUUGCGUAGAUGGAGGACGUCUUCAACAACUGCAGAGCUAGAAAGUGGAGGAGGAAACAGACAGAAAGGCGUGAUAAACAUGUUUAUUUCUAUUGUACAAUGUACUAUUGUAUAAUCCCCGUCGUGCUUUAUAUACGCAGUGCAUGGAUUCUGAUGUCGUGGUAUGAUACGAACACUUUCUUGUCUCUCUCUCUCCCUCCCUCCAUCUCUUUCCCUCUCACACUCUCAUCCUUUCCUGCCCGCCGCAUGGAGGUCUAGCUCUGUCUCCUCGCUAUAUCUGCCAUUGCUUUCUGUCUGACCUUGCAGGAAGCUUAUCGCCAGCCUUUCAUUUAACAAGCAUCCUGCUGUUUUCCUUCUGAGCUGCACUACGGUAGCCAAAGAUUUCAUUAUUUAUUACAAGCCAUAAAAUUACUGGUGUGCAUAAAAACAAUAUAAAAAUUGUAUCGCACAUGCCUCAUUCUUUGAUAUCUCCCUACACUGCUCACAGCGAUCAAUUCGCGAAUGAUGCAGGCACAACCAUCCAAAUAAACUGAUAUAAAAAGAAUGUUUGUGCACGGGGAAAGAAGUAUAAAGUUUUUGAAGCACAUCGAAUAUGUCGCUUUAGCUGAUAUAUCGUUAGACACAUAUCUCUCCCUUCACCCUUCUGCCCUAACAGAGAUACAUCCGCCAAGGAUGCAGGGCACGGGGCAGGCAAAAUGAGAUUAUUAAUGACAAGGCCCAGGUAAAGAUAAGUGAGACCAAACGGUCUGCUGUAGUUUGUCAGUGAGCUUAUCAGCUCCCGCCGAUUAUUUUGUUUUCAUCUGGCUAAAAAUUUCCCAUGCUGCUGUCAGGUUUGUUUCUUCGGGCUUAUUUUGCCCCCUUCUUUCCAUUCCCAUCCCAUCCCAUUUCACUCACCUCUGUACCUGCCUGCCUUGUGACUCGCAGCGUCUGUAUGACGGGUUAUUUUGAGAAGAUGUAUGCUGGUGAAAUGAACUGCUGAUUUACGAGGCGUUUAUUUACGGGUGGCCAGAUUAUGCAUAAAACUGACAGGUGGAGGUAACUGCAGCACGAUCCAGAAAUACCUAGAAAUGAUUUAGGUGCGGCGGGUGGGUUUCGCCGUAAACGUCAUGGCAGUUACGAGGUAGGUAUGGAAGACAUCUGAAGGAAGGCAGUCUUGUGAAGAAGCCGCAUGUCGUACAGGUGGUUGCAGUAGGUGAUCGGGAUCGUGAGCAGGUUUCAGUCACUGCAGUUCAUUACUGUGUGCUGCCGAACAGAGAUGUGACUAUCUGACCAGCUUUCUUCUUUCUCUCUUCAGUGACGCAGAUGACAUGGUGGGGAUGGAAUAAUGUGACUUGCUCUCCUGUACAGCGGUACAUAUUAUUAAAAGCCGAUUGUGACCAGCAGAUGGCGCUGGCUGCCUGGGGUUAAGUGUACCAGUAUGAUCAGCACUUUGUACGACAUCCCCAAGCCGCUUACUGUACACAUUUUUCACGCACGGCUGGCUUGAACAAUGGCGGGUAUACAAUGGACAGAGGUCGGACAGACUUCGAUCUGGGGGCGAGGUGACAGUUGCCCAUUGUUUCCCUCGCUACCACAAGGACACGCAGCGCUUUGAACUCAGUUAUCCACGCCUCCCUUAACGGAUAACAAUGACGUCUACGUCACAGACAUACACUUCAGAUCAAAUUUCUGUCGUUAAUAAAUUAGUGACACAAUGGCAACCAUUUGACAGCUGAGGAGACUGGUCACCAGCGCAGGUCUUGUCGGUGACUGGUGACGGAAGACUCCUACACUCCGGUCGUAACUGUCAGCAUCGGGCACUGGACAAGUGACAUUCGUGUGACAGCUGCACGACCUAUGACCACCUCCUGUUGAUAAGUUUAGUCAGGUCUGGCGUUCACAAAUCAUUUUCGUAAGACAUCUUACAUCGCAGGCAGGCCGUGCCCCCAACUGCCUUGAUACAUGUCUACGUCACGCAAAGUCGCACACGAGGGGUCCAAGGCAGUUGUCAGCUUACCAAACCUUGACCUCAGUUUUGUCUGCUCUAUUACAUGUAUUCUUCCCAAAAUAAAUUAAAAAAUCAUCUAGCCUAAUCAUAACCCUAAACCUAACUCAGAUCCCAAAACUAUCUUAAUGCUAAAAGGUUAAAACAUAUAGACACAAGUUACCACGAAUAAAGUGUGUAUUGCAAAACAAAAAAUACAUCAAAACCCUCGCCUACAACGUUCACACUAAAAACCACUCAGGCUGCUCGCUGCACUUAUAGCAAUUUUGAGCAAAUCAGUCGCGGGCAGAGGUCAAUUCAGGUACAACAACACGGAAGCAGGCAGGCUAACUCGUUGCCCAUCUUAUGUACCCACUUAGUUGAAUUUCCCUUCAAUCUGCCAUAAAACGUCCAGCUAGGGAAGUUGGUUUUGACAGUGAAAAGUUUUCCCAACCAGCUGUGACAGGUUUUUCAUUCAAUCUGUCGUCCCAUUCUGUCCGUUGCCUUCAGCCCUUUCAUCGACCUGUCCUCUACUUCCUCGUGGACAAUCUGGCGCUGAACGCUGGUGAGGAAUCUGACACAGCUCACACAGCUCUCGGACACACACACACCACAUGUUUUGCCGAGCGUUAAAUUAAUUUGUUUGUUGGACCACAGCUGGACAGCUAAUUUAUCAGGCUCUUAAUGGGAAAGUGUAAGCCGAAAAGAAAGCAAUUAUGCUUAGCCGCUAAUAUUUCAUGUCUUGUACAAAAUGCUCGCAAACAAAGACAGAAGCAUUAUUAUUCUUCCUUGCUCAAGUAUAUAUCUCAGUAUAAUGAAAUUUAUUACUCUACCUGACGAGGAGCUGAGGUGAGGUUUUUUGUUGGAAUUUUAUGUUUGUUUGGGUUUU